AGGGUGCAGGGCGGAUGCCUUGGCACUAGGAGCCGAUGAAGGACGUGAUAAGCUGCGAUAAGCUUCGGGGAGUUGCACGUAAACUUUGAUCCGAAGAUUUCCGAAUGAGGAAACUCACUUAGAGUAAUGUCUAAGUAUCAUUAAGUGAAUACAUAGCUUAAUGAGGGGAACUCAGGGAACUGAAACAUCUAAGUACCUGAAGGAAGAGAAAGAAAUUCGAUUCCGUAAGUAGCGGCGAGCGAACGCGGAUUAGCCCAAACCAAUAAAGUUUUCUUUAUUGGGGUUGCGGACAUAUCAUAACGAAGAGGUAUCGUAAUUGAAGAGGUUUGGAAAGACCCACCACAGAAGGUAAUAGUCCUGUAUGUUAAACGAGAAGACUUCAGAUAUGAUCCAGAGUACCACGGGACACGUGAAACCCUGUGGGAAGCAGGAGGGACCACCCUCCAAGGCUAAAUACUACCUAGUGACCGAUAGCGUAUAGUACCGUGAGGGAAAGGUGAAAAGAACCCCGGGAGGGGAGUGAAAUAGAACCUGAAACCCUGCACUUACAAGCUGUGGAAGCACAUUUCUUGUGUGACCGCGUACUUUUUGUAGAACGGGCCAACGAGUUACGUUAAGUAGCAAGGUUAAGCACUUAAGGUGCGGAGCCGUAGCGAAAGCGAGUUUUAACUGAGCGUUCAGUUACUUGACGUAGACCCGAAACCGGGCGACCUACCCAUGAGCAGGAUGAAGCGAAAGUAAAAUUUCGUGGAGGUCCGAACCCACGAGCGUUGAAAAGCUCGGGGAUGACUUGUGGGUAGCGGUGAAAUUCCAAUCGAGCCCGGAGAUAGCUGGUUCUCCCCGAAAUAGCUUUAGGGCUAGCCUCAAGGUGAGAGAUACGGAGGUAGAGCACUGAAUGUCCUAGGGGGUAUUGCACCUACCGAAGACUAUCAAACUCCGAAUGCCGUCAUCUUAUACUUGGGAGUCAGACUGUGGGUGAUAAGAUUCAUAGUCGAAAGGGCAACAGCCCAGAUCGUCAGCUAAGGUCCCUAAAUGUAAGUUAAGUGGUAAAGGAUGUGGGAUUGCACAGACAACCAGGAUGUUGGCUUAGAAGCAGCCACUCAUUCAAAGAGUGCGUAAUAGCUCACUGGUCGAGUGAUCCUGCGCCGAAGAUUUCCGGGGCUAAAACUUACUACCGAAGCUACGGCAUCAGUAAUGAUGGGUAGGGGAGCUUCCCAUACGGGUUGAAGCAUGACCGUAAGGACAUGUGGACAGUAUGGGAGUGAGAAUGUUGGCAUGAGUAGCGAGAUGUGGGUGAGAAUCCCACAGGCCGUAAACCCAAGGUUUCCAGGGGAAGGUUCGUCCGCCCUGGGUUAGUCGGGACCUAAGCUGAGGCCGAAAGGCGUAGGUGAUGGACAACAGGUUGAUAUUCCUGUACUACCGAUAACCGUUUGAGAGAAGGGAUGACACAGUAGGAUAAGCUAAGCACACUGUUGGUUAUGUGUGCCCAAGCAUUGAGGCAGUCAAAGUAGGCAAAUCCGCUUUGAUAAUGCUGGGAUGUGAUGGGGAGCGAAAUUUAGUAGCGAAGUAGCUGAUUUCACACUGUCAAGAAAAGUCUCUAUCGAGGUUAAAGGUACCCGUACCGCAAACCGACACAGGUGGGUGAGGAGAGUAUCCUAAGGCCAGCGAGAGAACUGUUGUUAAGGAACUCGGCAAAAUGACCCCGUAACUUAGGGAUAAGGGGUGCCACCAUCAGGUGGCCGCAGAGAAUAGGCCCAAGCGACUGUUUACCAAAAACAUAGGUUUCUGCUAAGUCGCAAGACGAUGUAUAGGAGCUGACGCCUGCCCGGUGCUGGAAGGUUAAGGGGAUCUGUUAGAGCAAUCGAAGCAGUGAACUUAAGCCCCAGUAAACGGCGGCCGUAACUAUAACGGUCCUAAGGUAGCGAAAUUCCUUGUCGGGUAAGUUCCGACCCGCACGAAAGGCGUAACGAUUUGGGCACUGUCUCAACAACAGACUCGGUGAAAUUGUAAUUCCGGUGAAGAUGCCGGAUACCUGCGACAGGACGGAAAGACCCCAUGGAGCUUUACUGUAGCUUGACAUUGGGUCUUGGUACUACAUGUACAGGAUAGGUGGGAGGCUUUGAAACCAGGACGCCAGUUUUGGCGGAGCCAUCCUUGGGAUACCACCCUUGUAGUACUGGGACUCUAACCAUAGGCCAUGAAUCUGGUCUUGGGACACUGUCAGGCGGGCAGUUUGACUGGGGCGGUCGCCUCCCAAAAGGUAACGGAGGCGCUCAAAGGU
rnacentral:rRNA from 1 species